rnacentral:rRNA from 1 species
CUAGUGCACGCUGGCGGUAGGCCUAACACAUGCAAGUCGAACGGCAGCACAGGAGAGCUUGCUCCCUGGGUGGCGAGUGGCGGACGGGUGAGGAAUACAUCGGAAUCUACUCUGUCGUGGGGGAUAACGUAGGGAAACUUACGCUAAUACCGCAUACGACCUACGGGUGAAAGCAGGGGAUCUUCGGACCUUGCGCGAUUGAAUGAGCCGAUGUCGGAUUAGCUAGUUGGGGGGGUC